UGGGGAAUAUUGCACAAUGGGCGAAAGCCUGAUGCAGCAACGCCGCGUGAGUGAUGAAGGCCUUCGGGUUGUAAAGCUCUGUCUUUUGGGACGAUAAUGACGGUACCAAAGGAGGAAGCCACGGCUAACUACGUGCCAGCAGCCGCGGUAAUACGUAGGUGGCAAGCGUUGUCCGGACUUACUGGGCGUAAAGGAUGCGUAGGCGGAUUUUUAAGUGAGAUGUGAAAUACCCGGGCUUAACUUGGGUGCUGCAUUUCAAACUGGGAAUCUAGAGUGCGGGAGAGGAGAAUGGAAUUCCUAGUGUAGCGGUGAAAUGCGUAGAGAUUAGGAAGAACACCAGUGGCGAAGGCGAUUCUCUGGACCGUAACUGACGCUGAGGCAUGAAAGCGUGGGUAGCAAACAGGAUUAGAUACCCUGGUAGUCCACGCCGUAAACGAUGAGUACUAGGUGUAGGAGGUAUCGACCCCUUCUGUGCCGCAGUUAACACAAUAAGUACUCCGCCUGGGAAGUACGAUCGCAAGAUUAAAAAC
rnacentral:rRNA from 1 species